rnacentral:rRNA from 1 species
AUUGAACGCUGGCGGCAUGCCUUACACAUGCAAGUCGAACGGCAGCGGACCUUCGGGUGCCGGCGAGUGGCGAACGGGUGAGUAAAGUAUCGGAACGUACCUUUCAGUGGGGGAUAACUGUCCGAAAGGACAGCUAAUACCGCAUAUUCUGUGAGCAGGAAAGCAGGGGAUCGCAAGACCUUGCGCUGAUUGAGCGGCCGAUAUCAGAUUAGCUAGUUGGUGAGGUAAAGGCUCACCAAGGCGACGAUCUGUAGCGGGUCUGAGAGGAUGAUCCGCCACACUGGAACUGAGACACGGUCCAGACUCCUACGGGAGGCAGCAGUGGGGAAUUUUGGACAAUGGGGGCAACCCUGAUCCAGCCAUGCCGCGUGAGUGAAGAAGGCCUCGGUUGUAAGACUCUUCGUCCGGGAGGAAUACGCGACAGGAGUAAUAACCCUGUGUGGAUGACGGUACCGGACGUAAGAAG